rnacentral:rRNA from 1 species
GAUGAACGCUGGCGGCGUGCCUAAUACAUGCAAGUCGAGCGAACGGACGAGAAGCUUGCUUCUCUGAUGUUAGCGGCGAACGGGUGAGUAACACGUGGAUAACCUACCUAUAAGACUGGGAUAACUUCGGGAAACCGGAGCUAAUACCGGAAAAUAUUUUGAACCGAAUGGUUCAAAAGUGAAAGACGGUCUUGCUGUCACUUAUAGAUGGAUCCGCGCUGCAUUAGCUAGUUGGUAAGGUAACGGCUUACCAAGGCAACGAUGCAUAGCCGACCUGAGAGGGUGAUCGGCCACACUGGAACUGAGACACGGUCCAGACUCCUACGGGAGGCAGCAGUAGGGAAUCUUCCGCAAUGGGCGAAAGCCUGACGGAGCAACGCCGCGUGAGUGAUGAAGGUCUUCGGAUCGUAAAACUCUGUUAUUAGGGAAGAACAUAUGUGUAAGUAACUGUGCACAUCUUGACGGUACCUAAUCAGAAAGCCACGGCUAACUACGUG